CUUUUGUGUUUUUUUCUCACAUCAUCUCACUGACCGGAUUACUUCAUAUUAGAAGUGAGGAGAAGCAAAGCCCAAAUGGCCUCCACUCUGGACAGUGUGCGGGAAUGACCCCAGAUCUUUCCUGAUUUCGGCUUCUUCGGUUUCUCCAGUGACAGAUUCUGCACCAAAAAAGACCGAAGUGCCUGACCUGUCUGGAGUGGCGAGAUGACAGAGUGCUGCUGCUCUGAGAGUGGGCUGGCUUGUUCCAGGUGUGGGAAGUCUUCUCCAGGCCGCUUGCCAGCGAUUGGCUGCGAUUGAGUGAAGAUCCAG